GAUGUGGCAGUGAAGGUAUUCUCGAUGCAAGAAUAUUCAAAAGAAUUGAUAAAUUCCUUUAGACAAGAGGUGUCUCUUAUGAAAAGACUUCGGCACCCCAAUGUUUUGCUUUUCAUGGGAGCAGUAACUUCACCUCAGCGCCUCUGCAUAGUCACAGAGUUUCUUCCACGUGGAAGUUUGUUUCGCUUACUGCAGAGGUACACAGCCAAGUUGGAUUGGAGACGCCGUUUUCAUAUGGCUUUGGAUGUG